UCAUCCUCGCAGUUUGUGAGGCGCUUUCACAAACAGCAUGGCCAACAUUAAGAACAGAAUCAAGCAAUGCUAUUCCGAUCCAUUUAUACGAAAACUGGUGUUCAGUUGGGGCCUGUUUCUUGGAGCCAUCUACAUUGCACGUGACAUGGCAGCAGCAGAGGAACUUGCUGCAGCAGAAAUGGCAGCAUCUGCAGCGCAAGGGGUAGCAAACCAGGCUGAUAAAUUGGCUGGAGAGAUUUCCCGACUUGCUGCAAACUAAAACAUGCAGGAAGAUCUAUCUCAAACGGAUUCAGGAAAAUCUGAUUGGUCCUAGUGACUGCGACAAACCUUCAUUAGAAGCGAGUGAAGUUGACAGUAUAUGUGUGAAAAACAUGGGAUGAAACAUGAAUUCUAGAUGAUGACAAAUGACCGUGUGCUUGCUAGGUUAGAUGUGUAUCACAUUGUGUGUGUGUUUUUACUUGUUAUACAACAUUUUAUUGUGUAAUAAAACUAUGAAUGGUUAGAAACCAUCUUUAUAAAUAA